rnacentral:rRNA from 1 species
AUCGAGAGGUGGGCUGGACGUAUCACAAGUGCGAAUGCUGACAUAAGUAACGAUAAAACGGGUGAAAAACCCGUUCGCCGGAAGACCAAGGGUUCCUGUCCAACGUUAAUCGGGGCAGGGUGAGUCGGCUCCUAAGGCGAGGCUGAAAAGCGUAGUCGAUGGGAAACAGGUUAAUAUUCCUGUACUUGGUAAAGCUGCGAUGUGGGGACGGAGUAGGUUAGGUUAUCGCACUGUUGGAUAUGUGCGUUUAAGUUGGUAGGUGGGAAGUUUAGGCAAAUCCGGGCUUCCUUAACACAGAGAGAUGAUGACGAGGCUCUACGGAGCUGAAGUAACUGAUACCACACUUCCAGGAAAAGCCACUAAGCGAAAGGCUUUACUAAACCGUACUGAAAACCGACACAGGUGGUCAGGUAGAGAAUACUCAGGCGCUUGAGAGAACUCGGGUGAAGGAACUAGGCAAAAUAGCACCGUAACUUCGGGAGAAGGUGCGCCGGCGUAGAUUGUAAGGGCUAGCCCCUGAAGGUUGAACCGGUCGAAGAUACCAGCUGGCUGCAACUGUUUAUUAAAAACACAGCACUCUGCAAACACGAAAGUGGACGUAUAGGGUGUGAUGCCUGCCCGGUGCUGGAAGGUUAAUUGAUGGUGUAAUCGCAAGAGAAGCACCUGAUCGAAGCCCCAGUAAACGGCGGCCGUAACUAUAACGGUCCUAAGGUAGCGAAAUUCCUUGUCGGGUAAGUUCCGACCUGCACGAAUGGCAUAAUGAUGGCCAGGCUGUCUCCACCCGAGACUCAGUGAAAUUGAAAUCGCCGUGAAGAUGCGGUGUACCCGCGGCUAGACGGAAAGACCCCGUGAACCUUUACUAUAGCUUGACACUGAACAUUGAAUUUUGAUGUGUAGGAUAGGUGGGAGACUUAGAAGUAGUCACGCCAGUGAUUAUGGAGUCGACCUUGAAAUACCACCCUUUAACGUUUGAUGUUCUAACGAAGAUGACGAAACGUGGUCUCGGACAGUGUCUGGUGGGUAGUUUGACUGGGGCGGUCUCCUCCCAAAGCGUAACGGAGGAGCACGAAGGUUUGCUAAUCACGGUCGGACAUCGUGAGGUUAGUGCAAUGGUAUAAGCAAGCUUAACUGCGAGACAGACAAGUCGAGCAGGUACGAAAGUAGGUCAUAGUGAUCCGGUGGUUCUGAAUGGAAGGGCCAUCGCUCAACGGAUAAAAGGUACUCCGGGGAUAACAGGCUGAUACCGCCCAAGAGUUCAUAUCGACGGCGGUGUUUGGCACCUCGAUGUCGGCUCAUCACAUCCUGGGGCUGAAGUAGGUCCCAAGGGUAUGGCUGUUCGCCAUUUAAAGUGGUACGCGAGCUGGGUUUAGAACGUCGUGAGACAGUUCGGUCCCUAUCUGCCGUGGGCGUUGGAUGAUUAAUUGGGGCUGCUCCUAGUACGAGAGGACCGGAGUGGACGCAUCACUGGUGUUCCAGUUGUCUCGCCAGAGGCAUUGCUGGGUAGCUAAGUGCGGAAGAGAUAAGUGCUGAAAGCAUCUAAGCACGAAACUUGCCAAGAGAUGAGU